rnacentral:rRNA from 1 species
AUGCUGAGGUCCUCGGGGAGGGCCGGCGCGAGCGUCUGCCAUUUGGUCACGGCGCUGGCCGCGCCCUGGUCAACGGUCUUCUGGAUGUUGGAGAACGUCACUGUCGGUGGGACCGGUACAAGCCUGAUCUUCCACGACAGCACGACGCCGAAGUUCCCGCCGCCGCCGCCGCGGAUGGCCCAGAAGAGGUCGCUCCCCAUGGCCUCCUUGUCCAGCAGCCUCCCGUUGGCGUCGACCAGCGUGGCGUCGAGGACGUUGUCGACGGAGAGGCCGUACUUGCGCAUCAUCAUACCCAUGCCGCCGCCGCUGAUGUGGCCGCCCAAGCCCAUGGUCGAGCACACGCCGGCCGGGAACGCGAGUCCGGGCGCCGCCUUGGCGACGGCGUAG